AGCACUGUAGAGAGUUUGAUCMUGGCUCAGGAUGAACGCUGGCGGCGUGCUUAACACAUGCAAGUCGAACGAUGAUGCCCACUUGUGGGUGGAUUAGUGGCGAACGGGUGAGUAACACGUGAGUAACCUGCCCUURACUCUGGGAUAAGCCUGGGAAACUGGGUCUAAUACCGGAUAUGACCUUCCAUCGCAUGGUGGUUGGUGGAAAGCUUUUGUGGUUUUGGAUGGACUCGCGGCCUAUCAGCUUGUUGGUGGGGUAAUGGCCUACCAAGGCGACGACGGGUAGCCGGCCUGAGAGGGUGACCGGCCACACUGGGACUGAGACACGGCCCAGACUCCUACGGGAGGCAGCAGUGGGGAAUAUUGCACAAUGGGCGCAAGCCUGAUGCAGCGACGCCGCGUGAGGGAUGAMGGCCUUCGGGUUGUAAACCUCUUUCAGUAGGGAAGAAGCGAAAGUGACGGUACCUGCAGAAGAAGCGCCGGCUAACUACGUGCCAGCAGCCGCGGUAAUA
rnacentral:rRNA from 1 species